rnacentral:rRNA from 1 species
UACGAAGGGGGCUAGCGUUGCUCGGAAUUACUGGGCGUAAAGCGCGCGCAGGCGGCCAUUCAAGUCAGGGGUGAAAGCCCAGAGCUCAACUCUGGAACUGCCCUUGAAACUGUAUGGCUUGAGUAUGAGAGAGGUGAGUGGAAUUCCCAGUGUAGAGGUGAAAUUCGUAGAUAUUGGGAAGAACACCGGUGGCGAAGGCGGCUCACUGGCUCAUUACUGACGCUCAGGCGCGACAGCGUGGGGAUCAAACAGG